GGGAACGUCCGAAAAAGAAAAUCUCUCUUGAAAAAGUUUAGGAAUUUAAAAAACAAUAAAGAAAGCACAAGUAGGAUUUUGUUUAUCUAUAAAUGGACCCCCCCCACACACACACACACACUAUAAAAUCAUUACUUAAAUAAAUAAAACAAUAAACUAAGAAAUGAGGUUUUUAAAGACAAACACAGUAAAAACAUUGAUUUCCACCUUUAAUGAAUGUCUGUGAAUCGAUCAAUCGAUGACCUCACGCGUUCAUGGUUUUCAUCCAUUUACAGGUUCUUUCUGUUGAGAGAAGAAGUGAAUCCCUUCCAGUUGUUUGUUUCUUUAGAAGAAUCAGCAGCAGAGGAUCUUUAUGCUGCAACCGCGCACAGCGGGCCGCGAACUCGGGAGCUUCUGCACGGCGAGAGGAAGUCUUCCUCCGACGGGCCUGAUCAGAGUGUUCCAACUUCUCAAUCAAUCAAAUGGCCAGAAUUGUUCCAAUUUCUAGUAUCAAACUUUGCUGUGUCCAAUCAGAGAGCCGGAUUCGUUCCAAUUCCUUCAAAUAACUGCCGGUUUUCCAUUAUUUUAAGACAAAUAAAUAGUUUGCAUUAUUUCAAGUGUCUAAAAGAGAUUAAUGUAUUUGUGAAGAAGUGAACUCACGUUGUUACGUGUGUUUUAGUGAAAAAGGAAAAGGAAAGAACAUAUUUAAUACAAAGUUUGCAGGCGGAGAUGAUUUUGUUUUUACAGGGAACGUUUAUUUGCAAUAAAAGUAGAAUUGAAAAGAAAAUAUCAAGAAUAAACUUCUUUUGAAUCAGAACAUUUUUAAUAAUAGGAAUAUUGUUUCCACAGAAAACUAAAAUGUGUGCAGAGAUUUAAAUGGAAAUGAGAUCCAGCAAAGUACCAGGAGUGAAGAAGCUGAGAGGAGAUUUCUCCGAUGAUGCUGUGAUGAUGAACCUGCUGGUGUUUCUGCGGCAGAUCUAACCUCUGUCAUUGUUCACCAGCAGAAACCUGGAAAAACACAGAACGACCCACUGACUGACUUUGGAUGAAGAAAGAGGAAGACUCCCACCAGCUUUCAUGGGAGAAGAAGGUCCAAGACUUAAUCAUCGACAAAACAAAGCUGCAGCUGCAGAACUCUCCGUGUUCUGGACAGAUGUGUUCACCAAAGAGGGCAGAACUCUCUCAUCACACAUAAACGUCAGCUAAAACUAAAUUGGAUCAAGGUUUUUUGAAGCUUAAGCAUUAGAACAAAAAGUGUGGCGCUUCAACUCGUCCUGAAGAUCUUUUCACACUUUUCCCAGAGUUUUUCAUCACUGCUUCUGCUUUGUGUUCAACCUUUGAACAUGAUUGAUGAACUCUUUCUUUGCUUCAGAACCAUCAUGUUGUGGAUUAGCUUUCAAAGUACAGCGUCUGUUAAAAAUCUGUUUCUAUUUUUAUUUAUUCUCAAAGUUAGAAUCUUGAACAGUUCUUCUUCCUCACAUCCUGGACUUUAAAAUGUGUCAAUAAGCUACAUUUAGUGUCAAACCUACAUAAAAUGUUGAUUUUGCACAAAUCGUUACAGCUUCAAGAAAAACUGCAGAACACAAAAUGUCUGUUAAAUUGUAUCUAUUUUUCAAUCAAAUAAACUUUUAUGGCCUUUCA